rnacentral:rRNA from 1 species
AUUGAACGCUGGCGGCAGGCCUAACACAUGCAAGUCGAGCGGAUGAAGGGAGCUUGCUCCUGGAUUCAGCGGCGGACGGGUGAGUAAUGCCUAGGAAUCUGCCUGGUAGUGGGGGAUAACGUCCGGAAACGGGCGCUAAUACCGCAUACGUCCUGAGGGAGAAAGUGGGGGAUCUUCGGACCUCACGCUAUCAGAUGAUCCUAGGUCGGAUUAGCUAGUUGGUGGGGUAAAGGCCUACCAAGGCGACGAUCCGUAACUGGUCUGAGAGGAUGAUCAGUCACACUGGAACUGAGACACGGUCCAGACUCCUACGGGAGGCAGCAGUGGGGAAUAUUGGAAAAUGGGCGAAAGCCUGAUCCAGCCAUGCCGCGUGUGUGAAGAAGGUCUUCGGAUUGUAAAGCACUUUAAGUGGGGAGGAAGGGCAGUAAGUUAAUACCUUGCUGUUUUGACGUUACCAACAGAAUAAGCACCGGCUAACUUCGUG